rnacentral:rRNA from 1 species
GGAAUAUUGGACAAUGGGCGAAAGCCUGAUCCAGCAAUGCCGCGUGUGUGAAGAAGGCCUUCGGGUUGUAAAGCACUUUCAGUUGGGAAGAAAAGCUUGGUGCUAAUACCACCGAGUCUUGACGUUACCGACAGAAGAAGCAACGGCUAACUCUGUGCCAGCAGCCGCGGUAAUACAGAGGGUGCGAGCGUUAAUCGGAAUUACUGGGCGUAAAGGGCGCGUAGGCGGUUUGGUCAGUCGGAUGUGAAAGCCCCGGGCUCAACCUGGGAAUGUCAUUCGAUACUGCCUGACUUGAGUAUGGUAGAGGGAAGCGGAAUUCCGGGUGUAGCGGUGAAAUGCGUAGAGAUCCGGAGGAACACCAGUGGCGAAGGCGGCUUCCUGGACCAAUACUGACGCUGAGGCGCGAAAGCGUGGGGAGCAAAC